rnacentral:lncRNA from 1 species
CAGCCUUGUCAAAAAUUUUUCUCAAAUUUUCUCCUCAGCUUUCGGAAGAAGUCAGCUUUUAGAUGACCUGAUGAGGUCAUCUUCUAGAUGACUUCAUCCUUCGGAUGACCUGACGAGGUCGGCCUUCGGAUGAAGUCCACGUCGGCCUCCUCAUGAGGCUAGCCUUCUCAUGGAGCUCAUCGAGGAGAAGGAGACUGACAAUCAUCGGAGUCAGUACAUGGAGUGCAUCGGG